rnacentral:rRNA from 1 species
GCAUGCCUUACACAUGCAAGUCGAACGGUAACAGGUCUUCGGAUGCUGACGAGUGGCGAACGGGUGAGUAAUACAUCGGAACGUGCCCGAUCGUGGGGGAUAACGAAGCGAAAGCUUUGCUAAUACCGCAUAAGAUCUACGGAUGAAAGCAGGGGACCGCAAGGCCUUGCGCGAACGGAGCGGCCGAUGGCAGAUUAGGUAGUUGGUGGGAUAAGAGCUUACCAAGCCGACGAUCUGUAGCUGGUCUGAGAGGACGACCAGCCACACUGGGACUGAGACACGGCCCAGACUCCUACGGGAGGCAGCAGUGGGGAAUUUUGGACAAUGGGCGAAAGCCUGAUCCAGCCAUGCCGCGUGCAGGUUGAAGGCCUUCGGGUUGUAAACUGCUUUUGUACGGAACGAAAAGACUCUGGUUAAUACCUGGGGUCCAUGACGGUACCGUAAGAAUAAGCACCGGCUAACUACGUGCCAGCAGCCGCGGUAAUACGUAGGGUGCAAGCGUUAAUCGGAAUUACUGGGCGUAAAGCGUGCGCAGGCGGUUAUAUAAGACAGAUGUGAAAUCCCCGGGCUCAACCUGGGAACUGCAUUUGUGACUGUAUAGCUAGAGUACGGCAGAGGGGGAUGGAAUUCCGCGUGUAGCAGUGAAAUGCGUAGAUAUGCGGAGGACACCGAUGGCGAAGGCA